ACAUACCACAGACCACAGUGAGAGAUGUUGCCAUACUCUAUCAAGAACUGAGGAACACCUGAUCAGCAUCCAUAUAGCAAACAGGAAAACAUCAAAAAAGAGCUCUCCAAUCCUGG